GUUCGACCCUAAAAUCUAUUGUUUUUUUUUUCCUUUCGUUUACACCGAACGGCAAAACACAGUAGCUUCGCGCGCACAAUUUCAUCUUCUCCCUCGCAUCUCUCCCUAUCCAUCUACUCUAUUGUCUUCUCAAUUUGGAAGUCAGUAAACUUGUUGCCCUGAUUUUUUCCUUCUUCUAUGACUUCCAAUGGCGGCUAAACCAGAUCUUGGAUGGCUCUACUCGAUUGUGUAUGCCGUCGCCCUUGAAAGGAUCCACUUUUCUCGUAAAGUCGGCUUUCAUAAGGAUCCGGUCCGAGAGGGGCGAAGAACAAAGCGGCAGUCUAUUCCGCCUCUGAACGCGGCGUAUUCCCUUUGAAGACAUAGAAGGCAUAGGAGGCAUAAAAAUUCAAUUCCUCUUACUAGUUAGUAGUUAUUUGUUAUUUGUUCUUAUGAUAUUCUAGAAUACAUUUCAUAUUUGAUUAUCUUUAAUUGUUUCUGAGUUCAUCCUUUGUCUUGAGAUAAUCCUUUUUAGGUGGGAUCCUAACACUUAUUCAGCUUGGAGAAAAAAUGGAUUAACGAGAUGCAGUGGAUGUCGUAGAGGCGCUUUACGUUGGGGUGUGGGUUGAAUAUCCUUUCGUAAGAGUCGGCAUAUGGGGCGCAAAAAACAACGAUCGACUGGUGCACAGUAGACUUUUCUUAAUUGAAUUGGAGAUAAUUAUUUAGUGCAUUGACAGAUAGUUUGCCACCAUACUCGUGCAAUUGAGUAUUGCUGAGUCCCCAUCUUAAAUUAACAAUACCGGAUUUUUUUCAGAAUCAUGAUACAUGAGAAGAAUUUUAGUGUUCAUAUCUUACAUUAAUUUCUAGCUGUACUACCUUUUUGUCUAUCUGUACUUGAGUGCUACUCAAGUGGGGUAAUAUUUCUAGUAUUCCUUUUGGGAAAUAGGUAGACUAAUUUUGUCUACAGUCACUACAACAAAUAUGAUUUUCAUGCAUUUAUAGCAAAUAUGGUUAUUUCAAUGGGUUGGGCAUGGAGAACUAUAUUGAAUAAUUUUGAGUUCGAAAUUGUGAAUUCCUUUCUCCAUGUCAUUUGCGCUACUGUUUCUGGUUUGCUCCAUUUUAGGUUAACUUGCUACUGCUGUUGAUCCCGCAUAUUACUUGUCUUCGCCUUAUUUAGAAGCUUCUUAAUUAAAACAAUGAGGUUGAUGUUCUUGUUGGCAAUGUUCACAUUAUAUGACACACAAGUUUGAUCUCAUGUUUGUAUUAAUGGUUGAACCAGAACACAAAUGAGGACCUAAUUGCCUAUGUUAUCGCAUAUCUUACUAGGUUUCAUUGAUAGUUUUCAUAUUUUGCUGUAAAGCUAAAAUUCUGCUAACUGUUGGUGUUUGUUGAGCUGUGUUGCCUGCUGUUAGGGUGAGUGUGCAGUGACUACGAUAUGGAGUAGGUGCUACAGUUAUAAUAGGUAUGACUGAUUCAACAUGAGCAUUAAAAUUUAUAGUUAUGGAUGUGCAUCUGAAAUAUGUUGAAGCGAAUUUCAACUUAUACUUAGCACAUUAAUAGUGAUUCUAUCUAAUACAACAAAAUAUAUACAACAGCAAAGACAGUAGUAGCAAAAUCCACCGCUGCCAUUGGAGUUGUGGAAGUAGUGCUUUUAGUACCCUGUCAGCUAUUCAAAAUUGUUCUAGAGGCAUGGGCAUUUUAUAAUUAAGCCAACAAAAAUGUUAGAAAUAAGGAACAAAAUGGAGAUCAAAACGUCGAUAAACUCUGUCCGUAAUGAAGAUCUGCUCCUACUACACUAAGUUAUUUGCACUCCACCUGAAUAUACAACAAAAUUUUAGUAAACUCUUGUGUAGGGAGCUGAAUGAAACAAUCAGAAAGUACAAGUUUCUCCUA